rnacentral:rRNA from 1 species
UACGAAGGGGGCUAGCGUUGCUCGGAAUCACUGGGCGUAAAGCGCACGUAGGCGGAUCUUUAAGUCAGGGGUGAAAUCCCAAGGCUCAACCUUGGAACUGCCUUUGAGACUGAGUGGCUUGAGUACGAGAGAGGUGAGUGGAAUUCCCAGUGUAGAGGUGAAAUUCGUAGAUAUUGGGAAGAACACCGGUGGCGAAGGCGGCUCACUGGCUCGUAACUGACGCUCAUGCACGACAGCGUGGGGAUCAAACAGG